rnacentral:lncRNA from 1 species
UUUUUCACUUGCCCAAAUGUGUGUGUGGAGGCUGAGAAGGGGGCUUCUUGUGUGGACUCUUUUGAUCACUUUGCUUGUGGAUUGGGGCCUGGGGGGUAAGGAAUCAAUAGUGGGAAGUGGGACCCAUAAGGUAUUGUAUGGUGAGGUAGGGGGCACUGCACAUCCUUCGAUGCCCCCCUAUAGUUGGCUCUUUACUAGACCAAUACAUCUCUAUACAGACAAGAAGCUAGCCUCCCCAUUCCUAUAAGAACCCCCCCUUUGAUUUCCACUUAUUUCCCCUUCAAUUCAACUUUGAUCAUUUACAAGCUCAAGCCCAAAAAACUCAACUGUUUUUCUCUAUACUUUAUUUUUUUUAAGAAAAUAAAUAAAAUAUAAUGAAGAUGAUGAGCAGUGGUAGCAGCAUGGGAGGAUCCAAGAGAAGGAUUGCAAGCAGAGGACUUGGAGGAGUCCUUAGACAGCAAAGGGCUAGGCUCUAUAUCAUUCGAAGAUGUGUUGUCAUGCUAAUCUGCUGGCAUGAAUGAAUGAAUUAAUCACUCAUUCAUCCAUUAGAUACUAUAUAUUAGGUACCUCCUAGCUAGCUAGAUUAUGAAUCUAUAUAUGAAUAUGAAUAUGAUAUGAUGGAUCCCCCAUCUAUCUUCUUGUAAAUACUAAUUAGUGAAGAAGAAGAAGAAAAAGAAGAUGGAUAGAUCACAAUUUUGUACCAAAUGGCCUACCUUCCUUCUUGUACAUCGGAGAGUUUUUAAUUAGUUAUGGAACUACUAAUUUUAUUCCUUUUAAUUUCCAUCAUCUUAAUGUUAGUAGUAUUAUGGUGAUGAUCAUCUCUGGUUUGGGUGGUUGUGGCCCUAAUUAAUAAUGGAGUAUAAUAUAAUUAUUGUUUUUUGAGUUUUACUUGCUUCAUAAUACUAUCUUGUUAAUUUCUUCCAAGUAUUGUGGAUCUCUCUCUCUCUCUGUCUCUCAAUUUCCCAAGAAGAUGCAUAUAUGGAGGUGAUUGGAAAAAUGAAGAUCAUAUCAUAGGGUUGGUUAACACAAAGCCUAGCCUCUUUGCAUAUAUAGAGUACAUGCUACUUCAUUUUUCAACUUUCUUUUAAAUUUAGAUUCCAGUACUUGCAUGUAAUUUUUUCUUACUUGUUUGGAU